GUGUGGCACCACUAUCCACAACCCACAAUUUAUAAAAAGGAGAAAGACGAGCAUAUGGACCUGUGAAGGAGAGAGCUGGGCCUUUGAGGAGUUCCAUUAAUUGGUUAUAUUGCUCAGUGGAGAGACCAGAAAUUUCACUCAUGGCUAAGGAGUUGGCGGCGGCAGAAACUUGAUGUAUAGCCAGCGAAAAGGAACAGGUUGUGCUGCGUUUGCUCUUGGAUGACUACCAUUCUAUGUACCCAAUAACCUCAAAGCAUUUGUCAUGUUGAUGGCUGGGUUUACCACAUACUUCACAGAGAGGAGUUUCGAUGGGCCAGACCUGACGAGGACGAGGUUGAGUCCGUUGUGGCAUCGAGCGGGCGAUUAGAGUUGAUGCAUCCGGUCGAGCUGGGUUUCAUUGGAGCAAAUGUUGGGUUUCUUCUUGAUAGAGGGUAGCAUAGAAACGAAUAAUAGAAAGGAGUGGGUCUGUGGCUAAAAUCUGUGAUCGAAUUUGCUGAAAACUCUCGUUAAGGCCCAUGAGAAAUUGAUAAACUCGAUCUGUUUCUUGAGAUUCAAUGAAGGAUUUAUGGGCAUCACAUGUACAUGGAUUGAUUGGUUGCAAGGAGCCUAAUUCAUCCCAUAACUCCUUCAAUUUUCCAUAGUAUGAUGUAAUUGAGUUUUGUUCCUUGUGAAGAUUGGCCAAAUCCCAAAACUUUGGUGUGUUUGCUUUGUUAGAAACGGGUUUCUAGUUCUACCCAUAAGUCAUUCGGAAUAGCACAAUAGAGAAGGCUGCCUGUAAGUAAGCGAUCAAUGGAAUGGAGCAACCAUGACAUUAUUAUGUCACAACAUCAGUCCCAGAGUAAUACUGCAGCGGAGUCUUCGGUGGGUCGUUUGAUGGUGCUGGGAACAAAGCCCAAUUUGUUCUUGGCAUUCAGUGCUCGAGUGAUUGGUCAAUGCCAAGCGGGAUAAUGGUCGCUGUUGCGGAAGCUCUCUCAAAAG
rnacentral:lncRNA from 1 species